rnacentral:rRNA from 1 species
UGGCGGACGGGUGAGUAAUGUCUGGGAAACUGCCCGAUGGAGGGGGAUAACUACUGGAAACGGUAGCUAAUACCGCAUAACGUCGCAAGACCAAAGAGGGGGACCUUGGGCCUCUUGCCAUCGGAUGUGCCCAGAUGGGAUUAGCUAGUAGGUGGGGUAACGGCUCACCUAAGCGACGAUCCCUAGCUGGUCUGAGAGGAUGACCAGCCACACUGGAACUGAGACACGGUCCAG